GCCUGGGUGGCUCAGUCGGUUAAGCAUCCUGACUUCAGCUCAGGUCAUGAUCUCACUGUUCGUGGGUUCAAGCCCCUCAUCAGGCU
rfam:Felis catus isolate Cinnamon breed Abyssinian chromosome E3, whole genome shotgun sequence.